CUAAGAAUCUUCCGCAAUGGGGGAAACCCUGACGGAGCGACGCCGCGUGGGCGAAGAAGGCCGCAAGGUUGUAAAGCCCUUUUCUUGACGAAGAAUAAGGUCAGGAGUGGAACGCCUGGCCGAUGACGUUAGUCGAGGAAGAAGCCCCGGCCAAUUACGUGCCAGCAGCCGCGGUAACACGUAUGGGGCGAGCGUUGUUCGGAAUUACUGGGCGUAAAGGGUGCGCAGGCGGUUCAGCAAGCUCGGUGUUAAAUACCCCGGCCCAACCGGGGGGCUGCGCUGAGAACUGCUGGGCUUGAGUUCAGGAGGGGAAGCUGGAAUUCCUGGUGUAGGGGUGAAAUCUGUAGAGAUCAGGAAGAACACCGGUGGCGAAGGCGAGCUUCUGGCCAUGGACUGACGCUGAGGCACGAAAGCGUGGGGAGCGAACA
rnacentral:rRNA from 1 species